GACGAACGCUGGCGGCGUGCCUAAUACAUGCAAGUAGAACGCAGUUGCGAACGGGUGAGUAACGCGUAGGUAACUGCCUCAUAGCGGGGGAUAACUAUUGGAAACGAUAGCUAAUACCGGAUACUGUGAGAGGGACCUGCGUUGUAUUGGCUAGUUGGUGAUGUAAAGGCUCACCAAGGCGACGAUACAUAGCCGACCUGAGAGGGUGAAUGGGCACAAUGGGACUGAGGAAAGGCCCAGAAGUCUUACGGGAGGAGGAGGUGGGAAAUGUUGGAAAAGGGGCGAAGUCUGAACGAACAACGGCGGGUGGGGGGAGAAGGUUUUCCGAUUGGAAAGACCCGUUGUUUGGGGAGCGGUAACUAACCAGAAAGCGACGGCUAACUACGUGCCAGCAGCCGCGGUAAUUC
rnacentral:rRNA from 1 species